AGUUUGAUCCUGGCUCAGGACGAACGCUGGCGGCGUGCCUAACACAUGCAAGUCGAACGAGGUCCAUCUGGUAGCAAUACCAGUGAAGAUCAAGUGGCGAACGGGUGAGUAGCACGUGAGCAACCUGCCCCGAAGACCGGGACAACACCGGGAAACCGGUGCUAAUACCGGAUACCCCCACCGAGUCGCAUGGCUUGGUGAGGAAAUGGAUUCCGCUUCGGGAGGGGCUCGCGGCCUAUCAGCUUGUUGGUGAGGUAACGGCCUACCAAGGCGACGACGGGUAGCCGGCCUGAGAGGGUGUCCGGCCACACUGGGACUGAGAUACGGCCCAGACUCCUACGGGAGGCAGCAGUGGGGAAUAUUGCGCAAUGGGCGGAAGCCUGACGCAGCGACGCCGCGUGCGGGAUGAAGGCCUUCGGGUUGUAAACCGCUUUCAGCAGGGACGAAGCGCAAGUGACGGUACCUGCAGAAGAAGCGC
rnacentral:rRNA from 1 species